CAUUACUGUCAUCAAACCUAAAAGCCUUCAAAUUUCUCCAACAUCUUAGCAAAUACUUGUUAUCAUUUGCCUUUUUUUUUUUUUUUUUUUUUUUUUAGUUUUUGGCCAGGGCUGGGUUUGAACCUGCCACAUCUGACAUGUGGGGCCGGCACCCUACUCCUUUGAGCCACAGGUGCUACCCUAUCAUUUGCCUUUUUAAUAAUAGCCAUUCUAUCAGGUGUGAGGUAAUCUUGCAUUUGCUUUCAUUUGCCUUUCUCUCAUGAUUAGGGAUUUUAAGAGAAGUGAAAAGGUCUGUCAUCUUUGCCUUUUUCCUGAGCAUAGUGGAAAAGCUUUAAGUUUUCACUGUUGAGUAUGUUAUCUGUGGUCUUUUCAUGUAUAGCUUUUAUUAUGUUCAGAACAUUUUAUUAUGUUUUAUGUCCAGCAUUUUGAGAUAUUUUACCAUGAAGGUGUGUCAGACUUUAUUAAAUUCUUUUACCAGAUCUAUUGAGAUGAUCAUGAAAUUUGUGUCUCUCAUUCUAUGAUAUUGAGGUAUCACAUUAAUUAAUUAAUUUAAUUUGUUAAACAAUCCUUAUACCUGAGAAAUAAACCCUUCUUAGUCAUGGCAUGAUCCUUUUAAGGUACUGUUUAGUUCAGUUUGUAGUAUUUUGUUGUGGACCAUUGCAUCUACCUUGAUCAGAGAUAUUGGCCUAUAUGCUUCUUUUGUUGUGAUAUCUUUGAUAUUAGGGUAAAAUUGGUGUUAUUAAAUGAAUUAAAUUUUUUUUCCUUUUGAUUGUUUUGGGAAGAAUUUGAGAAGGAUGGUCCUUAAAUAAUAUUUAAAUGUUUGAUAGAAUCCACCAGUGAAACCAUCUGUUCCUUCGUCAGUGUUGUUGAGAGGUUUAUGACUACUGAUUAAAUAUUCUUAUUAAUUAUUGGUCUGUUCAGCCUUUCCAGUUCUUCUUACUGCAUUCUCUGUAGGUUGUAUGCUUUUAGAAAUUUAUGCAUUUUUCCCAGGUUAUACUGUUUGCUAGGAUUGUUAAUAGUAAUCUUAUGGUUUCCGUGAGACAACUGUAAUGUCUUCUCUUCCAUUUCUGAUUUUAUUAAUGUGAGUCUUCUUUCAUUCAUACUGUAGCUAAUUGUUUGUCAGUAUAAUGUAUCUUUCCAAUAAGCCAAGUCUUUGUUUUGUUGAAUUUUCUGUUUCUUUUCUAAUCUUGAUUUCAUUUACUUUUACUCCGGUUUUUAUUCUUUUCUUCCUUCUGCUAACUUUGGACAUAUUUUGCUCUUCAUUUUAUUUUCACUGAGGUAUAAAGUGAGUUUUGUUUUUUUUUAGAUCAUCCUUUUUUCAUAAAGUCGUUAUUUAAUCAUUGUAAAACUGUCCUCUUAGAACUACUUUUGCUGUAUCACAUAGGUUUUGAUGAGUUAUUCCUCCAUUUUUAUUUCUCUAAAAAUACUUUUUUCAUUUCUUUUUAUUUUCUUAUUCAUUGAUUAUUCUGAAGUAUAUUAAUUUUUACUUAUUUGUGAAGUUUACAGUUGUUCAUAUUGUUGAUUAAAGUCCCCAAUGAAUGUGAUGCCAUACACAUUAUGAUUAUUUUUUUCUUAAAGUGCUUUAUUGAAUGAGACAAUUUGACUAAAUCUUAGAGUUCUUAGAGAAAGCGCUAAAAUAGAUUUGUGACUUUGCCAAGACAUGGCAGGGAGUCUGCAAAAGUCAGUGUAGUCUGUACUCAGAGCAUUUUAGUUCAAGUAGAAAGAGGAGUCAAAGGAAGGUAGACACAGCUUCUCUCAGUAGACUUUCGUCUUAAUAUACGCUGCUGGAGCUAACAUUUUUGUCUAACCUGCCCUGUAAUGUGAAUGUGUAGUCUUGAAAACGUAUCCCGCUAGAAGUGUAGUGGAUUGUGAAGCUUUGCUGGUUGUAGUUAACAUUGUCCCCAAGCGGAGCAGUUUUCUAUGAACGUGAUUCGUUCUUUUCUGCGAGCUAUACAGUAUGCAGAGAAGCUGCUCAGGCCCUCAGGCAGGCGAUUAUUUUCGCCACACUUUGUACUUAACAAGGCUUGCUUGAAGACUGAGUCCAGUUUGAGAUGGGUGCUUCAAGAGCAGAAGAAAACGGUGCGUCCUCGACGUAUUCUUGGAGUCACACAGAAAAACAUCUGGACGCAGGGAUCAAGCCCCUGGAGAACUAAGGAGGAUAGCAGCAAACACGUGUCUGUGCACAGAAGUCAGAGAGUGGAAACUGCUGUCUCAACGUCGCAGAAAGUGAAGGAAAGCCGGAAGAGAUUUUGCCUGUUUAAGGGUGGUGCUUAAUGGAAUCAGCAUUACAGGUCGUUUGUUUUACACCGUUUUCAAAGAACUUUUUUCUUCCUUCAUUCCUAAUAAGAUAUAUGGGAAAGCCUUAGAAAAAUGCAGAACACAUCCCGAGGUGAUUGGCAUGUUUGGCAAGCCUGUUAAAGGUUACAGGGAGAGGACAAGGCGAGGCCGGAGGCAGCAGGUCAGUUUCACUGAAUACGUAAAAGAUGUGAAAUUCUACGUUGAGGGCCCUGAGCCGGGGAAGCAGGGAACCGUGCACGUGGAAGUUAAGCAGGACCCAGAAAAUGGUGAAUGUGAUUUUCAAUACGUAUUUGUAGAAGUUGAAUCCUACCCUAGAAGAACUAUUGUCACUGAAGAUAAUCCAUUCCAAGAAAAUUAAAAAAAAGAGAUCAUGCUGUUUCCAGAUGGAUAUGGACUGGUGCCAACUCACUGCUCUUCUCUUCACAGCUCUCUUCCCUAAGCUGUUCGAAAGAAUAAGAUGGAAAGAGUGCAUAGCUUAUAAAAGUGAAUGUAAUAGAGUAUUUGUGGAAUUUAGACAACCUAGAGAUUUUCUUGAGUAAAAAUGUGAAAUCAAGCAUAUUUUAACUCAUUGAAUUGUUAAUCAUGGUGACAUUUAUGCUCUAUUUAGCAUCUUUUGUGAUGAGAAAUUUUUGUUAAUGGAAAUUUUACAUCGUGUAAAUAAAAUAGAUUUUAGUGUUUGAUGCUUUUUAUAUUAUAUGCAAAAACUGCAAUGUAAAAUUAAAAUUAGGAAAAAGUGGAAAAAAUAAAAUAGAUUUGUGAGAGUUGUAAAAUGGUGGGGACAUGGGAUACAUCUAUAUCAGUGAUACUUGAUUUAGCCAAUGGAUAUGUAUCUUUAAAUAUGUGCAUAAAAUAUAUGCUGACUACUACAGUCAGCAGUCAAACUAUUAUAAUUUAAACAGACGAAAGUCUCUUUACCUUUGAGACUUCUCAUGGGGUCAUUUAGCCAGAACUCAGUUGUUACAUUUAGCAGGCAUGGAUACUCCAAAGUUACAUUUAGCAGAGGGAACUCAGUUAAGGAAUGGCUAUAAUCCCUUUCAUUCCCAGGCCUCAG